rnacentral:tRNA from 1 species
ACUAAUAUAGCUUAAUUAAAGUAAAACACUGAAAAUGUUUAGAUAGAUUCAUUUCUUAUUAGUA